AUCGCGAGUUGUACGCAGAAGAUCGUGUACGAAAAGGUUAAGUUAAGUCUAAAGAGUAACCCACGUGAAAGAUGGAUUCCGGCAGCUGAGUGCGGUGGCAUUCUACCGAUGGUGGCAGGUGAAACAAAAUUAGACCUCCGAGGAACUGGGUUAGCUAUUCACCCGAAAACAAGGUGGACAUGUUCUUCCGGCAAGAAAAGCUACAUUCAGCGCACAAGGGAGGUGGUCGUCGUGAAAUGUUGGGGUCGCCCUCAGGCCCAAUGUUAUCCUCUAACAGCAAAGGGCGAAACUUUUGCACGUAUAUCCUUUAUCUUAGUAUAGUAUAGUAUUUCAAAUUCAGCAUUAGGCCUUACAAUCCAUUUUUGUGCAAAGGCAGAAUGCAAGGAUCAUACAAAUUAUUUCUGCAAAUCGGCAAUAGUUGAAAACCAAAGCCGGAGGACCCAUCGAAAUUGACAGCUUAGGCGACAGAAGUUCAAAAACUUAACAAUUUCCCAAGAGAGGUCUC